GACUCCGUCGUCCUCAUGGGGAAGAACACCAUGAUGAAGCGCUCAGUCAGGAUGCACGCUGAGAAAACCGGAAACAAUGCCUAUCUCAACCUUAUCCCGCUCCUUGUUGUGAGUUUCACUCUUUCUAAAUCUGUUUUAUUAGCGAGUAUUAAAAAAAUGUUUUAAUUACUGAAUUUUGAGAGAAUGUGUUUUUGGUUGAAUCAGGGCAAUGUGGGAUUGAUUUUCACCAAAGGUGACCUGAAGGAGGUCAGUGAGGAGGUUGCCAAGUACAAGGUAAAUUGAUAUAUGCAUACUUUUCGAUUUGUUUAUAUUAUUGCUAUUUAACUGAUUGUUUUACUAACUAUUUGAUGAUGUUAGUCGUUUACCUUUGUUGCCUUGCCUGUAUUAUUGUUAAUUUGAAUCAUAAAAAGCCGUACUUUACCUUGUUUUUCUGUGAUGACUUUUUGGUUAAGUUUUGGGGACAGAUGCUAGGAAUGUAUCUCUCGAGCAUUUUAGUUGUUUAUUGUUAUUGUUAUAUUGUGCUCUGAUUUACUUAGUGAUUGCAAUUCUUGUUUACUUUUUUUCCAUGUUAUGACUUAUGUUUUGCUCUACCCGAAUAUAUUAGGCCGAGUUAUUAAGAUUGUGACAGUUGUUCGUUAUGUUUUGUGGGUUUGAUGCAAUACAAUAGCUAGCUUUUUUCCUACUUUGCAACUAUGUUAUUUGUGUAUAUCAUUUGCUUUAAUUUAUUGUUCAUCAAAACAUUUGUGUUUUAUCUGAACAGGUUGGAGCUCCUGCUCGUGUUGGUUUGGUUGCCCCAAUUGAUGUUGUUGUUCCUCCUGGCAACACAGGGCUCGAUCCCUCCCAGACCUCUUUCUUCCAGGUUGGUAAUCUUCUGUUUGUAGAAUUUGGGGGUGGUUGAUUUGUUUUGGUUUUUAAAAACUAUUAAUAUUUUAAAUAUUACGUUGAGUAGAAGUGGGGAAAGAAAAAACAUUAGUAACGGAACCAAAACAAAUUUACAGAUUUUUUAUAAGAGUUCUGUUUUUAAAAUCAAGGAAAAACAGGUCAAGAUUAUUUUGUUUUCAUGUCAUGUUUAUGCUUAGUUUCUGUAUUUCAGGUGCUCAACAUUCCUACCAAGAUUAACAAGGGUACUGUUGAAAUCAUUACCCCUGUGGAGCUCAUUAAGAAGGGAGACAAGGUUGGAUCUUCUGAAGCUGCAUUGCUUGCCAAGCUAGGGAUAAGGCCCUUCUCGUAUGGGCUUGUGGUUCUUUCUGUUUAUGAUAAUGGUUCAGUGUUCAGCCCUGAGGUUCUUGAUCUUACUGAGGAUGACCUUAUUGAGAAGUUU
rnacentral:lncRNA from 1 species